GGGAGAAACAUGUAGGAAUUGGUUUCUAGAUUGGGCGUGAACAACACCUGUUAAGCCAGCUGCCAUUUAGCUGCUAAGUGAGGUGAUAACCCAAGGGAGAAAGGAGACAGCGGUGGCCAAGUAGUUGGGCGGUGGCCGAGCGAGAAACACAUUUUUACUUCCUUCCUUACCCACCAAAUGUUAAGAGCGAGACCGAGAGAGAGACCAGGCCACAUUUCUUUCAUCUCAGUACUCAAACCAGGGGGAGAAAAAGGAAAUAUUUCUGAUUCUUCCUUACCUCCAGUUGCAACCGGAGAGUGAGGAGGAGAGAGUUAGACAGUGUUAGCUGCAUUCUUCCAGCUUGUGGCCUCAGAACCGUGAGCCAAGAGUGAGUACAAAGAGGAGUAUGGAGCAGUUGGGAACUGAAGCAGGAAACCAAACGUGCAGCCUGCAAUUUUUCAAACUUUAGAGGAAAAAAAGAGGUAAGCGACUGCAAUGACCCUCAUCUCAUCUGGUAUAACUAGCUUCCUAGGUUGCAUGUUGAAUUUUAGUGAGGAAAUGAGUCUUAGCUGAGAAUAACUUUGCUAGAUGACUGACUAAAAGAGAAGAGAAAAACAAAACUGGCAUCCGAGAGGACUAAGCUGAAAGUUUCAGCCUGUUAUUCAUGGGAAAUAGAGUUAGGAGUAUAUGUCAAAGGUUUAGAGUUCAGUUACACAUGAAAUUCAGAUACAAACUCAUGGGAAGCGGGGAGAGUAAACUGGAAAUGUUUAGAAUUAGCUGCUGGAAUUCUUUCAACUUCGGCCGAGAGAAAGGAAGGAGACUUACCAGAUUUCCUUACGAACUUUGGCUCCAAAAAUUCCACCUUGAGACUUGAUUUGUUGCAUAGUAUUUUAGCUGUAGCUUGCAUGGAAGAUUGGUAUAUAACUAAAAAUACUUUGACCAGCUUUAUGUUGCAUAACUAGUUCCUGCAAGAAUGUUUUUUUUUCAAGUUGGCCGAGAAGGAGGCCUGGUUCAGCUAUGGGUUUCAGUUCCCUUGGCUGUACACUUUACGUUGCUGUUAACGUAUACUGUGGCCGAAAGUUACCAUUUGUAUGAUAAGUAGGAAGUGAGGAAAUGAAGAACUCGAGAAGGAUAGUUUUGCUUUUGGAAUGUUUAUAGCUGAUAUGUUAUCAUUCGGCUUCUGAUGUGGGAGGUGCGAGUUUGCAAAUUGAUUUAUAGCGGAUCCGCACUUUUAACGUGUUAACACUAAAUAUCAUGAGUUAUAGAUCUUCAUGUAAAAUACAAAUGGAGAGCAAAAUAGCCACAAACUUUAAGGAAAAUAUUAAUUAUACCUACUGUCAUUUGGCUGGAGUAAAGUUAACAUGUUGCAGUAACAACUGAGAACUCAUCCGAAUAGUGUUAGGGGCUGAUUUGAGUUUAAUUAUGAGCUUGAACUAUGGGCAUAGAUGAACCUUAGCAAAGCAUGUGUUGACAGCAGGUAGAGAAAGCUAGAAGAUUAGCAAAUUUACGUAAACUUAAACUAUAGGCAGCUUAGAAUCUAAGUUGGUUAAAAACAAUGCAUGUAAAGGCUACUUGCCUUAACCUUAGAAUAGUGGAUAGAAAUGGUUUAAUCUUGAUCUAAAUAUUUUAGAAGUCUUUAAACUUGGAAUAUAUGUUUACUUCUUCAGUUAAAUUGACAAAAUUGAUAAGUUCGAGGUAAAAAAAUAAAAUAGAAAUUAAAUAUGUUAUAUCCUGUUCUAAACCAAGACGUGAAUUUAAUAAGUUCAAAGUAUAAGGUGACAAUGAUAAAGGCAAUAGGUUUCAAAAUAAAAUGUAGAAUAAAUAGUGACUAUAUUAUAUUUUGUAUUUUAAGGUCAAACUUGAUUUUAAUAGUUUAAAUAAUAAGAUAAGAAUAAUAAAUGAUCAUCUACAAAUUAUGUAUUUACUUGAAAUUAUUAACUUGUCCAGGAAGUAGCCGUGAGCCAGGAAACCACCCCGAAGCCCGAGAGUAGUUAUUUAAAAAUUUGGUGAGUGCUGCCAAAUUUAUGUGAUUAAUUGUUUAUGUUUCCUUAAGUGAAAUUAUGUGACAAAUGUACUUGUUAUGAAUAUUGCUGGUGAUUCCUUAUAAUGUGUAUAUCAAUUGUUCCUUGCCUUCUAAGUUGGGGUAUACUUUAUCGUACUCGACUUAAUAGAGUUGAAGGUCGAUAAUUGAUCAAAUAUUACUGUAAGUAUGCAUGAAUGUAAGUCAUAUGUGUACUUUACGGGAUCGGCUGAAUUGGGCCCCAAAACCCUUUGUUCAAAGGACUAUUCGAGCCAGCAAAAAGGACUUGGUCGGAUAGGACGGAAGCUCUGGGUAACUGUUUCGGUAUAUUCGAGUAUUACUCUGGAGUUGAGAGAUUACUGAACCGAUUAUUAAAUGUAGGGGAUUGUUUAUUGAUACGAGAGAGAUAAGGUGACGAAUUGGUGAUGCAGGCAAUGAUAUCGAGAUGAAUGUCUCAUGACACUGAAAUGAUUGUACAUUGUUAUUAAAAUGGCUCACAGGAGGAGUUCGUAUCUUUUUGAAAGUGAUUGUACAGUGAUUGGUUGCACUACUUGUUUAAUUGUCUUGAUUCAAAUGUUUGAUAACUGUUACUUGCUCGGCAAACCUCACUGAGCUUUAGCUCAACCGUUUAGUUUGUUUUCCUUACAGGAGUUGGAAGUCGGGGAUCCAACGAGGGAUCUUAGGGAGAUAGCGUGAAGACUUUGGUAUUGUGAAUAGUAUCUUACUAAGGUAGAUGCUUUUGUAUUGAACCAGAUAUUGUAAAAAGGAUGUGAACGGUUAGGAUUAGUUUAUCCAACUGGUAUCUCUGAAGUUAAUGUAAGAUGAUUGGAAGUUAUCCAACUGUUAUCUUUGAAGUUAAUGAGUCUUGGUGAGAGCCAGGCAAGCGAUCCGCCAACUUUUAGGGUAUGCCCUAGAAAGAGGUAGGAUCGUCACAAUUGUGCUUACCACUGUAAUCACAAUUAGCAAAGUUGUAUCAGCAAGUUCAGAUUAAAGCACUGGGAACCUCCAAAAGUUGUUUUCUCUCUUGAGAAAUAAUUUUAUCCUGAAUGAUUUAACAUAUACAAGUACUGAUGGAGUAGUACAU
rnacentral:lncRNA from 1 species